rnacentral:rRNA from 1 species
GUGUCAGCCGCCGCGGUAAUACGUAGGGUGCAAGCGUUAAUCGGAAUUACUGGGCGUAAAGCGUGCGCAGGCGGUUUUGUAAGACUGUCGUGAAAUCCCCGGGCUCAACCUGGGAAUGGCGAUGGUGACUGCAAGGCUAGAGUUUGGCAGAGGGGGGUAGAAUUCCACGUGUAGCAGUGAAAUGCGUAGAUAUGUGGAGGAACACCGAUGGCGAAGGCAGCCCCCUGGGUCAAAACUGACGCUCAUGCACGAAAGCGUGGGGAGCAAACAGGAUUAGAUACCCUGGUAGUCC